rnacentral:rRNA from 1 species
AGUGAACGCUGGCGGUAGACCUAACACAUGCAAGUCGAACGGCAGCACAGUAAGAGCUUGCUCUUACGGGUGGCGAGUGGCGGACGGGUGAGGAAUACAUCGGAAUCUACUUUUUCGUGGGGGAUAACGUAGGGAAACUUACGCUAAUACCGCAUACGACCUACGGGUGAAAGCAGGGGAUCUUCGGACCUUGCGCGAUUGAAUGAGCCGAUGUCGGAUUAGCUAGUUGGCGGGGGAAAGGCCCACCAAGGCGACGAUCCGUAGCUGGUCUGAGAGGAUGAUCAGCCACACUGGAACUGAGACACGGUCCAGACUCCUACGGGAGGCAGCAGUGGGGAAUAUUGGACAAAGGGCGCAAGCCUGAUCCAGCCAUACCGCGUGGGUGAAGAAGGCCUUCGGGUUGUAAAGCCCUUUUGUUGGGAAAGAAAAGCAGCAGGUUAAUACCCCGCUGUUCUGACGGUACCCAAAGAAUAAGCACCGGCUAACUUCGUG